rnacentral:rRNA from 1 species
GACGAACGCUGGCGGCGUGCCUAAUACAUGCAAGUAGAACGCUGAAGAGAGGAGCUUACUCUUCUUGGGUGAGUUGCGAACGGGUGAGUAACGCGUAGGUAACCUGCCUUGUAGCGGGGGAUAACUAUUGGAAACGAUAGCUAAUACCGCAUAACAAUGGAUGACACAUGUCAUUUAUUUGAAAGGGGCAAUUGCUCCACUACAAGAUGGACCUGCGUUGUAUUAGCUAGUAGGUGAGGUAAUGGCUCACCUAGGCGACGAUACAUAGCCGACCUGAGAGGGUGAUCGGCCACACUGGGACUGAGACACGGCCCAGACUCCUACGGGAGGCAGCAGUAGGGAAUCUUCGGCAAUGGGGGCAACCCUGACCGAGCAACGCCGCGUGAGUGAAGAAGGUUUUCGGAUCGUAAAGCUCUGUUGUAAGUCAAGAACGGGGGUGAGAGUGGAAAGUUCACACUGUGACGGUAGCUUACCAGAAAGGGACGGCUAACUACGUG